UAUGGCAGAAUAAUGCAAUAGACUUAAAAUCUAUUAAUAAAGAAUUUUUACUUUUAUUAAAU
rnacentral:tRNA from 1 species